rnacentral:rRNA from 1 species
GACGAACGCUGGCGGCGUGCCUAAUACAUGCAAGUCGAACGCUUCUUUCCUCCCGAGUGCUUGCACUCGAUUGGAAAGAGGAGUGGCGGACGGGUGAGUAACACGUGGGUAACCUACCCAUCAGAGGGGGAUAACACUUGGAAACAGGUGCUAAUACCGCAUAACAGUUUAUGCCGCAUGGCAUAAGAGUGAAAGGCGAUUUCGGGGGUCGCUGAUGGAUGGACCCGCGGUGCAUUAGCUAGUUGGUGAGGUAACGGCUCACCAAGGCCACGAUGCAUAGCCGACCAGAGAGGGUGAUCGGCCACACUGGGACUGAGACACGGCCCAGACUCCUACGGGAGGCAGCAGUAGGGAAUCUUCGGCAAUGGACGAAAGUCUGACCGAGCAACGCCGCGUGAGUGAAGAAGGUUUUCGGAUCGUAAAACUCUGUUGUUAGAGAAGAACAAGGACGUUAGUAACUGGACGUCCCCUGACGGUAUCUAACCAGAAAGCCACGGCUAACUACGUGCCAGCCGCCGCGGUAA